UACGUAGGGGGCAAGCGUUGUCCGGAAUCAUUGGGCGUAAAGAGCUCGUAGGCGGCUUGUCGCGUCGACUGUGAAAACCCGGGGCUUAACUUCGGGCUGGCAGUCGAUACGGGCGGGCUGGAGUUCGGUAGGGGAGACUGGAAUUCCUGGUGUAGCGGUGAAAUGCGCAGAUAUCGGAAGGAACACCAGUGGCGAAAGCGGCUUCCUGGUCCAGCAUCGACGUUCAGGCACGAAAGCGUGGGGAUCAAACAGG
rnacentral:rRNA from 1 species